GAAUGCUGACAUAAGUAACGAUAAAGCGGGUGAAAAGCCCGCUCGCCGGAAGACCAAGGGUUCCUGUCCAACGUUAAUCGGGGCAGGGUGAGUCGACCCCUAAGGCGAGGCCGAAAGGCGUAGUCGAUGGGAAACAGGUUAAUAUUCCUGUACUUGGUGUUACUGCGAAGGGGGGACGGAGAAGGCUAUGUUAGCCGGGCGACGGUUGUCCCGGUUUAAGCAUGUAGGCUGAUUGUCCAGGCAAAUCCGGAUAAUCAAGGCUGAGGUGUGAUGACGAGGCACUACGGUGCUGAAGUAACAAAUGCCCUGCUUCCAGGAAAAGCCUCUAAGCAUCAGGUAACAUCAAAUCGUACCCCAAACCGACACAGGUGGUCAGGUAGAGAAUACCAAGGCGCUUGAGAGAACUCGGGUGAAGGAACUAGGCAAAAUGGUGCCGUAACUUCGGGAGAAGGCACGCUGGUGUGUAGGUGAAGCCCCUGCGGGUGGAGCUGAGACCAGUCGAAGAUACCAGCUGGCUGCAACUGUUUAUUAAAAACACAGCACUGUGCAAACACGAAAGUGGACGUAUACGGUGUGACGCCUGCCCGGUGCCGGAAGGUUAAUUGAUGGGGUUAUCCGUAAGGAGAAGCUCUUGAUCGAAGCCCCGGUAAACGGCGGCCGUAACUAUAACGGUCCUAAGGUAGCGAAAUUCCUUGUCGGGUAAGUUCCGACCUGCACGAAUGGCGUAAUGAUGGCCAGGCUGUCUCCACCCGAGACUCAGUGAAAUUGAACUCGCUGUGAAGAUGCAGUGUACCCGCGGCAAGACGGAAAGACCCCGUGAACCUUUACUAUAGCUUGACACUGAACAUUGAGCCUUGAUGUGUAGGAUAGGUGGGAGGCUUUGAAGCGUGGACGCCAGUCUGCGUGGAGCCAACCUUGAAAUACCACCCUUUAAUGUUUGAUGUUCUAACGUUGGCCCCUUACCGGGGUUGCGGACAGUGUCUGGUGGGUAGUUUGACUGGGGCGGUCUCCUCCCAAAGCGUAACGGAGGAGCACGAAGGUUAGCUAAUCCUGGUCGGACAUCAGGAGGUUAGUGCAAUGGCAUAAGCUAGCUUGACUGCGAGCGUGACGGCGCGAGCAGGUGCGAAAGCAGGUCAUAGUGAUCCGGUGGUUCUGAAUGGAAGGGCCAUCGCUCAACGGAUAAAAGGUACUCCGGGGAUAACAGGCUGAUACCGCCCAAGAGUUCAUAUCGACGGCGGUGUUUGGCACCUCGAUGUCGGCUCAUCACAUCCUGGGGCUGAAGUAGGUCCCAAGGGUAUGGCUGUUCGCCAUUUAAAGUGGUACGCGAGCUGGGUUUAGAACGUCGUGAGACAGUUCGGUCCCUAUCUGCCGUGGGCGCUGGAGAAUUGAGGGGGGCUGCUCCUAGUACGAGAGGACCGGAGUGGACGCAUCACUGGUGUUCGGGUUGUCAUGCCAAUGGCACUGCCCGGUAGCUAAAUGCGGAAGAGAUAAGUGCUGAAAGCAUCUAAGCACGAAACUUGCCCCGAGAUGAGUUCUCCCUGAGACUU
rnacentral:rRNA from 1 species